UACGGAGGGUGCAAACGUUGCUCGGAAUCAUUGGGCGUAAAGCGCACGUAGGCGGCGCGUUAAGUCGGAUGUGAAAGCCCCGGGCUCAACCCGGGAAGUGCAUACGAAACUGGCGCGCUUGAAUAUGGAAGAGGGUCGCGGAAUUCCCGGUGUAGAGGUGAAAUUCGUAGAUAUCGGGAGGAACACCAGUGGCGAAGGCGGCGACCUGGACGGACACUGACGCUGAGACGCGAAAGCGUGGGGAGCAAACAGG
rnacentral:rRNA from 1 species